AUUGAACGCUGGCGGCAUGCUUUACACAUGCAAGUCGAACGGUAACAGGCCGCAAGGUGCUGACGAGUGGCGAAUGGGUGAGUAAUGCAUCGGAACGUGCCCAGUCGUGGGGGAUAACGCAGCGAAAGCUGUGCUAAUACCGCAUACGAUCUGUGGAUGAAAGCGGGGGACCGAAAGGCCUCGCGCGAUUGGAGCGGCCGAUGUCAGAUUAGGGAGGUGGUGGGGUAAAGGCUCACCAAGCCAACGAUCUGUAGCUGGCCUGAGAGGACGACCAGCCACACUGGGACUGAGACACGGCCCAGAGUCCUACGGGAGGCAGCAGUGGGGAAUUUUGGACAAUGGGCGCAAGCCUGAUCCAGCAAUGCCGCGUGCAGGAAGAAGGCCUUCGGGUUGUAAACUGCUUUUGUACGGAGCGAAAAGGCUCUCUCUAAUACAGGGGGCUCAUGACGGUACCGUAAGAAUAAGCACCGGCUAACUACGUGCCAGCCGCCGCGGUAAUAC
rnacentral:rRNA from 1 species